UGUUAUGUUCAUGCCUAUAGCUCUAAUGCACUGGAUCCCAUCAUAACUUCGUAGUUAAAUGUGCUUGGGCUAGAGUAGUACUGAGAUGGGUGAACUCCUAGGAAUUCCUAGUGUUUUACAU
rnacentral:rRNA from 1 species